UUAGCCUUUAAUCAACUAUGGGAACAUGGCAAAUAAGCCAUUGAGUCAUUGCCACCAGCUCAGACCGCCCCUCCAUAUUACUUCAAUACACACAAUAUAUUUGGAUUUAUCCAGUUAACUGUGACCAUGACAGAAGACAAUGACUCCAGCACAAUGAAUAUCUUGGAUAUUGAUGACGACAUGUAUGUCAAGCCCAGAACAAGACAUGGCUUUCAAUACUCAGUGCAUUUUCAGUGGUGGAAGAGAUCAUUCGGAGUUGCUGCAUUGUGUCUUGGAUUGCUGUGUAUUCUCCUACUGGCUGGGAUCAUAGGCAUGUGUGUCAACUACACUGGUCAGCAUUCCCGUGAUGAAAGAGAAAAAGUGAGAGACCAGCUACAAACCAGUAAUAACAACCUGACUAAAGAGAGAGACCAGCUACAGACCAGUUAUAACAACCUGACUAAAGAGAGAGACCAGCUACAGACCAGUUAUAACAACCUGACUAAA